AUGUUGCAUUUGUCUUGCUCAUUUUUCAGGUGCACGGAGAAGGACAUCCUGUGGAAGCGUUCUGCUUUAUCAGGUGUUUUAACCUUAUAUAGAGGCCUGAGUGCUUCUGAAUACAGGAAUCUCUACAAGCAAGUACGCCACUGCCCCAAGCUUCAAAAGCACAAGAGUCCGUAGGAGGCAGACCACUGACCUUCCAAAAUAUUUCACCUGUCAGUAGGGUACAAGGGGCACCAGACACUUCUGAACUGGCAAGAACCUUGACUCAGAAAUUCAGAAGAAAACUUAUGUCAGAUGAAGAGAUUGAAUAUAUUAAAGUAAGUUUCACUUAUUUGUGCGUAAUCUCUGUAUUUACCUAGCUUUUAUAUGAUUCCUACAGGUUCUUCAAAGUUUCAAAUAUGGUAUUACAUUGUAAUUCUUGGUAAGCAUGUACUCAGAGCUUCAGCAGAAUCAUAGAAUAUCCUGAGCUGGACUCGAUGAUACUUGUGGGUCCCUUCCAACUCCUGGAUCCACACAGAACCACCAAAACCCAAAUCAUAUUUCUGAGAGCAUUGUCUAAAUGCUUCUUGAACCCAUUCAAUGCCAUACCUCUUGGCCCAGGAGGUGACAAGAUUAUUUCAGCAGUGACUCCCAUUGUCUGACUCAGAUCUCUGGUGUAUCAUGGCACCAUAGAAUUUGCCUUUCCAGACCCAAGAUGGUGUUUUGGGCAGUGGCAUGUUUAUUGGGUAUGUUUCCAGCCACCCGGUAGUUGCUUCUACUCUGGUAAGUACGUAAUGCUUGCCUUGGUGGGUUUCAAUUUCAAUUUUUGAAGCCUCGUCCACCUCUUUCUUAUUCUUUGGUGGCGCGACUCUUGGGCAUGAGAGCAUCUACAUGCCAUACUUUUACAGCCAGGUUCUCUACCCGGGUAGCAAUAUCUUGCCACAAUGCCACAGCCCAGAUAGGUUUACCUCUGUGCUGCCAGUUCCUCUGUUUCCAUUGCUGUAGCCACCUCCACAGAGCGUUUGCCACCAACCAUGACUCAGUAUAAAGAUACUGAAU
rnacentral:lncRNA from 1 species